UACGUAGGGUGCGAGCGUUGUCCGGAAUUAUUGGGCGUAAAGGGCUCGUAGGCGGUUUGUCGCGUCGGGAGUGAAAACUUGGGGCUUAACCCUGAGCUUGCGGUCGAUACGGGCAUGACUGGAGUUCGGCAGGGGAGACUGGAAUUCCUGGUGUAGCGGUGAAAUGCGCAGAUAUCAGGAGGAACACCAGCGGCGAAGGCGGUGCUCUGGGCCGGAACUGACACUGAGGAGCGAAAGCGUGGGGAGCGAACAGG
rnacentral:rRNA from 1 species